UUGAAUUGAAUGCAACGGAAUAAUAAGAUGUUAUUUACUUAAGUUCUAGGCGAUUACACGUAAAGUAGUGGAAGAUUAAGCUAGAGCAAUUAUAAUCUAUGAGAAUGGUAAGGAUGGAGUGGAAGCUAAGCAAGUUCUAAACAAUCACUUAUAAAUCAAUAGGAAACAAAGCUAGAGAUAUUACACAAUCAAGUAUGAAUGUAAGGCAUGAAACACAAGAGAUAAGGCAUCACAAACACAAAGAUGUAUAGUGGUUCGGUGCACCCCAGCACCUACAUCCACUCCCCAAGACCUCUUAAAAAUUUCACUAUAAUCCCUCAGAUUACAGCCGGUUGUUUUACAAGCUCACAACCCAACUUGUUGUUUUGCGAGAUCACAACGAACUCGGUCGGUUUUC
rnacentral:lncRNA from 1 species